rnacentral:rRNA from 1 species
GAUGAACGCUGGCGGCGUGCUUAACACAUGCAAGUCGAACGGUGAACACGGAGCUUGCUCUGUGGGAUCAGUGGCGAACGGGUGAGUAACACGUGAGCAACCUGCCCCUGACUCUGGGAUAAGCGCUGGAAACGGCGUCUAAUACUGGAUACGAGUAGCGACCGCAUGGUCAGUUACUGGAAAGAUUUAUUGGUUGGGGAUGGGCUCGCGGCCUAUCAGCUUGUUGGUGAGGUAAUGGCU